rnacentral:rRNA from 1 species
AUUGAACGCUGGCGGCAUGCCUUACACAUUCAAGUCGAACGGCAGCACGGGGCAACCUGGUGGCGAGUGGCGAACGGGUGAGUAAUGCAUCGGAACGUACCUUUCAGUGGGGGAUAACGUAGCGAAAGUUACGCUAAUACCGCAUAUUCUGUGAGCAGGAAAGCAGGGGAUCGCAAGACCUUGCGCUGAUUGAGCGGCCGAUGUCAGAUUAGCUAGUUGGUGAGGUAAAGGCUCACCAAGGCGACGAUCUGUAGCGGGUCUGAGGGGAUGAUCCGCCACACUGGAACUGAGACACGGUCCAGACUCCUACGGGAGGCAGCAGUGGGGAAUUUUGGACAAUGGGGGCAACCCUGAUCCGGCCAUGCCGCGUGAGUGAAGAAGGCCUUCGGGUUGUAAAGCUCUUUCGGCCGGGAAGAAAUCGCACGGGCUAAUACCCUGUGUGGAUGACGGUACCGGAAUAAGAAGCACCGGCUAACUACGUGCCAGCCGCCGCCGUAA